GGAGGCUGGGAGGAGACGGGACCAGGUCUUGCAGGGCUUGCACAAAAGUUUGGCUUUUACAAUGAGUAGCAUCAGUAGCCCAUUUUCUCAUCUCUUAGGGACCUUUUUCCCCAGCGGCAGGCUGCGUUACAAGUAUUUCCUGUCUGAGCUGGCACAUCUGCCCAUUGAGCCGACCCCCGGUCUGCAGAGGGAGCGCUCUUCCCUGGCAGCUGUAGAGGCUUGCUCUUGGCUCUACUGAAUCCUGACGGGGCGAGUGACAGGGACAAACAGCGUUUGGAUGUGACAGGUAAGUUCCUGCAGCCAACCUGUGCCUUCACCUCGUCGGGGAAGCCAGAGAGGCCUGCACGUGGCUGCUGCCCCCGAGGGGCAGGGCCCCGCCCCUUGGUGCCAGGCUCGCCUCCCCAUGAAGCCACCACCUGUAUUCCUGCCCGUUUGCACCUCGGAGAACAGCUUGCUUGCUGUUCCAACAAAGAGUCGCGUGGAGCCGCAUGAGCUGUCGGAGGGUCACAUGUCUUCCGGGCCGGCCCGUCCACUGUGCGGUGUGGUGGUUCGCAACACCGCUUCAGAAGGGCAGCCGCCCUCAGCAGGACAUGGAGAAUAUCGCGUGGAAUUAAAAUAAGACUCUACCUCCUUUGCACCCCAAAUUCCUUUGCACCCAAAUUCCACGACUUGGGUUUUUGAUACUGACCUGCCUGAGGCUGGCUGUCCCCAGCGGGUGCAUUUCUUUAAGUCAAACCGACACGUGUGCCCACGUGAGUUAUGGGCAAAGCUCCUGCAAAUGGCCUUCACUAAUGUGCUGUCUUUGUUCCAAAUUCCUUCAGCCCUUUGAAGGUUAACGAGGGAGAUAAAAAGAAGAUAUUAAGUCAAAAUGAAAUAAAGUGUGCACUUCCUCUGGU